GAUGAAGAACGCAGCGAAAUGCGAUACGUAAUGUGAAUUGCAGAAUUCAGUGAAUCAUCGAAUCUUUGAACGCACAUUGCGCCCGCCAGUAUUCUGGCGGGCAUGCCUGUUCGAGCGUCAUUUCAACCAUCAAGCCCCCGGCUUGUGUUGGGGACCUGCGGCUGCCGCAGGCCCUGAAAACCAGUGGCGGGCUCGCUAGUCACUCCGAGCGUAGUAAUACAUCUCGCUCAGGGCGUGCUGCGGGUUCCGGCCGUUAAAACACCUUAUUUACCCAAGGUUGACCUCGGAUCAGGUAGGAAGACCCGCUGAACUUAAGCAUAUCAAUAAGCGGAGGA
rnacentral:misc_RNA from 1 species